rnacentral:snRNA from 1 species
UUGCUUUGGUAGCAUAUACACUAAAAUUGGAACGAUACAGAGAAGAUUAGCAUGGCUCCUGCACAAGGAUGACACGCAAAUUCGUGAAGUGUUACACACACAC